rnacentral:pre_miRNA from 1 species
CAACUACUCCCUCUGUCCCAAAUUUCUUGUCUUAGAUUUGUAUAGAUACGGAUGUAUCUAAUACUAAAAUGUGACUUGAUACAUCCGUAUCUAGACAAAUCUAAGACAAGAAUUUUGGGACGGAGGGAGUACUUU